UCCUGAGGUAGAACCACAAGGAAGCCAUCUGUCUGGAAUGUGGUAUUGUGAUCCCUGGCUGGAGAUAGGUGUUCUAUUUCUGCCUGAAUGCAGAAAAAUGAAAGAUUCUAAAGAGAUUCUUCUCUAAAGAACUUACAAAGAGGCCUGGGACAGCCCUUUCUGGUGCCAGACAACAUUCCUGCAUUUUAGAGGGCCCUGUAACAGAUGGUAGGAAGACGAAGUCAAUAUUACACCUACUUCAUAAACUUCAAAGCACACAUCAAGUUGCAGUCAUACAUGUGAUCUUCUCCCAUCAGCCUCCUCCUGAUAUCCCAAUUGUCUCUUGCUGAAUUUCUCCAGCUGUGAAGUUUUGAAUUUUUUUCUUUAGUUGACAGCUAAGUGUUGGGGAACAUUCUCAAAGAAAUCCAGUAGAGCACCUUUGGUAUUAAGCCACACAGGAUUUGGAGUAUCAGCAGUGGCCUUGCCACUCACUCUUCCUUUUCCCCAGGUGAAAAACCAAAACAAACCAAAGGACUACCACCAACCAAAAAUCCCAUCCAGAAUAUGGUUCAUGCUUCUGGUCUCAAGGCAAAGGUCUAAUGGAGCUCUCUGUAUUACUCCUGGCCCUAAGUGAAACAUAAGAAACCUCACUGCCCCAUUCCUGCCUCUGUGGCCUCCCAAUGCUCAUUUCUGUUUCCACUGGCAAUCUCCACAUAGACAUUUACCUGGCAAGUGUGCCUUCAAGUCUAUGUGCCCUGCUCCUCUGAGUGUUUGAGCUCCGUCUGCAACCACUCAAAGAGGGGAAUGUGGAGAAGGCCAGCCAUGCCAUGGUUCUCACCUGGCCUCCUCAGGCCAAUGGGGGAAACAUGCAUUGGGGGAAUUUUGGAAACUCUACCAUCCUGGUUGUGUGGAAUACUGAAGAAAAGAUACUUUUCUCUUAAAUCGGAGCGUGUGUGCAUGUAUUUACUAUACUCUAUAAAAAGGUCUGAUUAGCAUUUCUUUUUUAGUUGCUCCUUCUCCAUCCCAGCUGCACCAAUUGUGGUCAGUAAAACAGAAUUGGGUGCAACAGUAAUUCAGGAAAGCAGCUGAAAGGAAAGGGAAUGAGUUUGCUUAGAGCUUGAAGAAACCACUCCAAUUUAAAAGAUAGAGAAGGGAUGAAAUGAGAAAUUUGGAGGGAAGGAACAAAAAAAUUCCAAAGACAUAGGAACUGAAGCAAAUGGGGGAAAAGGGAGAGAGAGAGAGAGAGAGAGAGAGAGAGAUAUCUCAAACUACUCACACUGAGAAACAGAGAACCCCUUUCUAUAGAAAAAUGCAAAAAAACAAAUUUCUUUUUUCAAAACAACAAAUGGGAUAGAAAAGUCUGGAUUUUUAAAAAUGAAAAC